rnacentral:rRNA from 1 species
AUUGAACGCUGGCGGCAGGCCUAACACAUGCAAGUCGAGCGGAGCGGCGGACGGGUGAGUAAUGCCUAGGAAUCUGCCUGGUAGUGGGGGAUAACGUACGGAAACGGGCGCUAAUAACGCAUACUAUCAGCUGAGCCUAGGUCGGAUUAGCUAGUUGGUGGAGUAAAGGCCUACCAAGGCAACGAUCGGUAGCUGGUCUGAGCGGCAGACCAGCCACACGGGGACUGAGACACGGCCCAGACUCCUACGGUAGGCAGCAGUGGGGAAUUGUGGACAAUGGGGGCAACCCUGAUCCAGCCAGGCCGCGUGCAGGAUGAAGGUCUUCGGAUUGUAAACUGCUUUUGUCAGGGAAGCGGUACCUGAAGAAUAAGCACCGGCUAACUACGUGCCAGCAGCCGCGGUAAUUC